UCCGAUAAGAAUUUGUUCAUAGGAAGCUCUGCUCAAUGAAAUUUAUAUAGCCGCUAGUCGUGCUAAGGUAGUAAAAUAAUUUGUCUUUUAAUUAAAGACCAAACAAAAGAUUUAACAUUUAAAAGUUUUUUUUAAUUUUUAUGUUUAAAAUUAUUCUAAAUGUUAAAAAACAUUUACAAAAAAGAAAGACGACAAGACCCUAUCAAACUUAACUUUAGUUAAACUGGGGCAGUAAAUAAAUUAGUAUUUUUAUAUAAAUUUUAUUAAAAUUAUUCUAAUAUUAUUAUAUAAUCAAGUUACUGUAGGGAUAACAGCGUAAUAAAAUUUAWUAGUUCUUAUUAAAAAUUUAGAUUGCGACCUCGAUGUUGAUUAAUUUUCCUUAUUCACGCAGUAGUUUAAAAAGAAAGUCUGUUCGACUUUUAAAAAAUUACA
rnacentral:rRNA from 1 species